rnacentral:rRNA from 1 species
UUAAGUUAUUAAGGGCGCACGGUGGAUGCCUUGGCACUAGAAGCCGAUGAAGGACGUUACUAACGACGAUAUGCUUUGGGGAGCUGUAAGUAAGCUUUGAUCCAGAGAUUUCCGAAUGGGGAAACCCAGCAUGAGUUAUGUCAUGUUAUCGAUAUGUGAAUACAUAGCAUAUCAGAAGGCACACCCGGAGAACUGAAACAUCUUAGUACCCGGAGGAAGAGAAAGAAAAUUCGAUUCCCUUAGUAGCGGCGAGCGAAACGGGAAGAGCCCAAACCAAAAAGCUUGCUUGUUGGGGUUGUAGGACACUCUGUACGGAGUUACAAAGGACGACAUUAGACGAAUCAUCUGGAAAGAUGAAUCAAAGAAGGUAAUAAUCCUGUAGUCGAAAAUGUUGUCUCUCUUGAGUGGAUCCUGAGUACGACGGAGCACGUGAAAUUCCGUCGGAAUCUGGGAGGACCAUCUCCUAAGGCUAAAUACUCUCUAGUGACCGAUAGUGAACCAGUACCGUGAGGGAAAGGUGAAAAGCACCCCGGAAGGGGAGUGAAAUAGAACCUGAAACCGUGUGCUUACAAGUAGUCAGAGCCCGUUAAUGGGUGAUGGCGUGCCUUUUGUAGAAUGAACCGGCGAGUUACGAUUUGAUGCAAGGUUAAGCAGUAAAUGUGGAGCCGUAGCGAAAGCGAGUCUGAAUAGGGCGUUUAGUAUUUGGUCGUAGACCCGAAACCAGGUGAUCUACCCUUGGUCAGGUUGAAGUUCAGGUAACACUGAAUGGAGGACCGAACCGACUUACGUUGAAAAGUGAGCGGAUGAACUGAGGGUAGCGGAGAAAUUCCAAUCGAACCUGGAGAUAGCUGGUUCUCUCCGAAAUAGCUUUAGGGCUAGCCUCAAGUGAUGAUUAUUGGAGGUAGAGCACUGUUUGGACGAGGGGCCCCUCUCGGGUUACCGAAUUCAGACAAACUCCGAAUGCCAAUUAAUUUAACUUGGGAGUCAGAACAUGGGUGAUAAGGUCCGUGUUCGAAAGGGAAACAGCCCAGACCACCAGCUAAGGUCCCAAAAUAUAUGUUAAGUGGAAAAGGAUGUGGCGUUGCCCAGACAACUAGGAUGUUGGCUUAGAAGCAGCCAUCAUUUAAAGAGUGCGUAAUAGCUCACUAGUCGAGUGACACUGCGCCGAAAAUGUACCGGGGCUAAACAUAUUACCGAAGCUGUGGAUUGUCCUUUGGACAAUGGUAGGAGAGCGUUCUAAGGGCGUUGAAGCAUGAUCGUAAGGACAUGUGGAGCGCUUAGAAGUGAGAAUGCCGGUGUGAGUAGCGAAAGACGGGUGAGAAUCCCGUCCACCGAUUGACUAAGGUUUCCAGAGGAAGGCUCGUCCGCUCUGGGUUAGUCGGGUCCUAAGCUGAGGCCGACAGGCGUAGGCGAUGGAUAACAGGUUGAUAUUCCUGUACCACCUAUAAUCGUUUUAAUCGAUGGGGGGACGCAGUAGGAUAGGCGAAGCGUGCGAUUGGAUUGCACGUCUAAGCAGUAAGGCUGAGUAUUAGGCAAAUCCGGUACUCGUUAAGGCUGAGCUGUGAUGGGGAGAAGACAUUGUGUCUUCGAGUCGUUGAUUUCACACUGCCGAGAAAAGCCUCUAGAUAGAAAAUAGGUGCCCGUACCGCAAACCGACACAGGUAGUCAAGAUGAGAAUUCUAAGGUGAGCGAGCGAACUCUCGUUAAGGAACUCGGCAAAAUGACCCCGUAACUUCGGGAGAAGGGGUGCUCUUUAGGGUUAACGCCCAGAAGAGCCGCAGUGAAUAGGCCCAAGCGACUGUUUAUCAAAAACACAGGUCUCUGCUAAACCGUAAGGUGAUGUAUAGGGGCUGACGCCUGCCCGGUGCUGGAAGGUUAAGAGGAGUGGUUAGCUUCUGCGAAGCUACGAAUCGAAGCCCCAGUAAACGGCGGCCGUAACUAUAACGGUCCUAAGGUAGCGAAAUUCCUUGUCGGGUAAGUUCCGACCCGCACGAAAGGCGUAACGAUUUGGGCACUGUCUCAACGAGAGACUCGGUGAAAUCAUAGUACCUGUGAAGAUGCAGGUUACCCGCGACAGGACGGAAAGACCCCGUGGAGCUUUACUGUAGCCUGAUAUUGAAAUUCGGCACAGCUUGUACAGGAUAGGUAGGAGCCUUUGAAACGUGAGCGCUAGCUUACGUGGAGGCGCUGGUGGGAUACUACCCUAGCUGUGUUGGCUUUCUAACCCGCACCACUUAUCGUGGUGGGAGACAGUGUCAAGCGGGCAGUUUGACUGGGGCGGUCGCCUCCUAAAAGGUAACGGAGGCGCUCAAAGGUUCCCUCAGAAUGGUUGGAAAUCAUUCAUAGAGUGUAAAGGCAUAAGGGAGCUUGACUGCGAGACCUACAAGUCGAGCAGGGUCGAAAGACGGACUUAGUGAUCCGGUGGUUCCGCAUGGAAGGGCCAUCGCUCAACGGAUAAAAGCUACCCCGGGGAUAACAGGCUUAUCUCCCCCAAGAGUUCACAUCGACGGGGAGGUUUGGCACCUCGAUGUCGGCUCAUCGCAUCCUGGGGCUGUAGUCGGUCCCAAGGGUUGGGCUGUUCGCCCAUUAAAGCGGUACGCGAGCUGGGUUCAGAACGUCGUGAGACAGUUCGGUCCCUAUCCGUCGUGGGCGUAGGAAAUUUGAGAGGAGCUGUCCUUAGUACGAGAGGACCGGGAUGGACAUACCUCUGGUGUACCAGUUGUCGUGCCAACGGCAUAGCUGGGUAGCUAUGUGUGGACGGGAUAAGUGCUGAAAGCAUCUAAGCAUGAAGCCCCCCUCAAGAUGAGAUUUCCCAACUUCGGUUAUAAGAUCCCUCAAAGAUGAUGAGGUUAAUAGGUUCGAGGUGGAAGCAUGGUGACAUGUGGAGCUGACGAAUACUAAUCGAUCGAAGACUUAAUCAA